CUAAGAAUCUGCGUAUUCCUAAUGUCUUUCACACCUCGUUGUUGAAGCCUUUCGUACGCAACCGCUAUACCCGACAUGCACCUCCUCCCCCUCCUGUUUCUGUGGAGGGUCAUGAGGAAUUUGAAGUUUCUGCAGUUCUUGACUCUCGUUUCCUUAGGGGCCGACUUCAGUACCUAGUGCAUUGGAAGGGCCUGAGGAGCAUAGUUGGAUUUCCGCUGACGCGGUUCACGCUCCUCGUCUUGUGCGCUCUUUCCAUUCUCAUUUUCCU